rnacentral:ncRNA from 1 species
AGGAUCACGCAGGGGUACUCGCUGUCCCGCCUUCAAGGCCGGCAGCGUGUUGAGAGAGUCCCUUCGUACCAGUACGGAUAAUGCCGAUGCUGGGAGCGUAUUCCAGUUGCCG